AUUGAACGCUGGCGGCAUGCUUUACACAUGCAAGUCGAACGGUAACAGGCGGCGAGUUCCUGACUAGUGGCAGACGGGGGCGUAAUGCAACGGAAUGUGCCCCGUCCUUGUGGGUAACUACUCACAAGGGUAAAUAAUACCUCAUACCGUCUAAGAUUUAGAACGGGAGGCCUCAAGACUGCGCGCGGUUGUAGCUGCCGCUGUUAGAUUAGGUAGUUGGUGGGGUAAAGGCUGACCAAGGCAACGAUCUGUAGCUGGUCUGAGAGGACGAGCAGCCACACUGGAACUGAGACACGGCCCAGACUCCUACGGGAGGCAGCAGUGGGGAAUUUUGGACAAUGGGCGAAAGCCUGAUCGAGCAAUGCCGCGUGCAGGAAGAAGGCCUUCGGGUUGUAAAAUGCUUUUGUAAGGAACGAAACGGCUCUGAUUAAUACGCGGAGCUAAUGACGGUACCGUAAGAGUAAGCACCGGCUAACUACGUG
rnacentral:rRNA from 1 species